CUUCCUCGAUCUGCUGCGGGCAAAUGAAGUGGAUAUGCGUGUCGACGCCGCCGGCCGUGACGAUCAUGCCUUCGCCGGCGAUGAUCUCGGUGGCGCCGCCGAUGGGCAAGGUCACGCCGGGCUGGAUGUCGGGGUUGCCCGCCUUGCCGAUGCCGAAGAUCAGGCCAUUUUUCAAGCCGAUAUCGGCCUUCACGAUGCCCCAGUGGUCGAGGAUGACGGCAUUCGUGAUGACGGUAUCCAUCACCUCGGCCGCGCAGCGCUGCGACUGGCCCAUGCCGUCGCGGAU
rfam:Janthinobacterium sp. KBS0711 VM94_contig000025, whole genome shotgun sequence.